rnacentral:rRNA from 1 species
AGGAUGAACGCUGGCGGUCUGCUUAACACAUGCAAGUCGAACGGAGUAGCAAUACUUAGUGGCGGACGGGUGAGUAACGCGUGAGAAUCUACCUUCAGGACGGAGACAACAGUUGGAAACGACUGCUAACCCCCGAUGUACUGAAAAGGCAAAUAUUUAUAGCCUGAAGAAGAGCUCGCGUCCGAUUAGCUAGUUGGAGAGGUAAAAGCUCACCAAGGCGACGAUCGGUAGCUGGUCUGAGAGGACGAUCAGCCACACUGGGACUGAGACACGGCCCAGACUCCUACGGGAGGCAGCAGUGGGAAUUUUCGGCAAUGGGGGAAACCCUGACCGAGCAACGCCGCGUGCAGGAAGACGGCCUCGGGUUGUAAACUGCUUUCUUUGGGACGAGCAAGGACGGUACCAGAGGAAUCAGCCCCGGCUCACUACGUGCCAGCAGCCGC